AUUGAACGCUGGCGGCAGGCCUAACACAUGCAAGUCGAGCGGAGCGGCGGACGGGUGAGUAAUGCCUAGGAAUCUGCAUUAGAGAAGGGGAUAGCCUUUAGAAACGAAGAAUAAUACCCUAUACUCUAAGAUGGACUUGCGUUUGAUUAGUUAGUUGGUGAGGUAACGGCACACCAAGACAGCGAUCAGUAGCCGGCUUGAGAGAGUGUACGGCCACAUUGGGACUGAGACACGGCCCAGACUCCUACGGGAGGCAGCAGUGGGGAAUUUUGCACAAUGGGCGAAAGCCUGAUCCAGCCAUGCCGCGUGUGUGAAGAAGGUCUUCGGAUUGUAAAGCACUUUAAGUUGGGAGGCGUUACCAACAGAAUAAGCACCGGCUAACUCCGUGCCAGCAGCCGCGGUAAUAC
rnacentral:rRNA from 1 species